CUGACUUUGCAGCAGUCUGCCCACCUGACGGUCAGGAACAGCUUCCUGGUGGGACUACAGACAAUGGUAGAAAGAUGGCUCUGUUGAGAUGAGCUCUUAAUUAAUGCACUGAGAGCUUACGAGUCCCACCUCUCAACAGGAAUGAUUGACGUCCAAGGAUACAUAAAUUACACUAAUUGAGCUCUGCCUCCAUACAGGCUUUCCACAGCCAACUCAUCAGAGAAGCUAGGUUUGUAAGACAACCAGCGUCUUUGCUUGGCAACGCUAAUGAGUGAUCUGAUACAAAAUUGAAGGAGAAUACACCUUUUUGAAUUCCUGCCCUUCUAAGACAAAGGGAUUUGGAAUUUCUGCACAACCAAG